AACGUAGGACGCAAGCGUUAUCCGGAGUUACUGGGCGUAAAGCGCGGGCAGGCGGCUCGAUGCGUCUGAUGUGAAAUCUCCUCGCUCAACGGGGAGAGGCCAUUGGAAACGGUCGAGCUGGAGGGCAGUAGAGGUAGGCGGAAUUCCGGGUGGAGUGGUGAAAUGCGUAGAGAUCCGGAGGAACACCAGAGGCGAAGGCGGCCUUCUGGACAGUGACUGACGCUGAGACGCGAAAGCGUGGGGAGCAAACAGG
rnacentral:rRNA from 1 species